UCCGAGAUACUGAACGAAGAAACCAAAAAAAAUAUUAGGGAGCUAGCUUUCUCUGCAGCCUCAAGUUUCUCCGUUUUAAACUUUUCGAGUUUCUUUCGAGCUUAUUAUUAAGCUUUUUAAGGCAGUGAGAUUUCCAUGACCCCAUUUGGUUUAUCAUUACGCGAUCAUAAAGCAAUGCACUUGGUGAAAGGGCUCGAAUAUUGGAGUUCUGCAACAAAGGAAAAGCAGCUUUUCGAGGAUAUAUAUGCAUCAUUCGUGUAUGAGUUCUUUUGCUCCUUCAUGGCAGUACAUGGUUGUGUAUGUUCUUCGUUGCUGUUGUUGCUCUUAAUGAGGCUCAAAAUUUCGGAGCAAAAUGCCUUCUCUGUUUUCAUGUUAAUAUGCACAAGUUUAAUUAGUUUUUCUUGAUGGAUGGUGUUCAACAUGUUUGGCUUGAUGUUCCCAAUGUGUUCUUGAAGUCUUCCCUGAUCAAAUGAGAAUCUUCAGAAAAGUACAUGUACAUGGCGACUCUCAGAUCGAUCUGGCAUGCAUAUUUUGAUGAUUAAAAAUGAUCAUUUCAUGCUCAACACAACCUAGCUUUAAGCACAGAUCGUUAUAUCGAUCCUGUCUUUCAACAUGUACCAACUCGAUCGAUCCAGCUGAUUGGUCUAAGUUGCUGCGUUCUAACAAGUGGCUUUCAUACAAGUGAAGGAUCCUGCUUCGGAAUUCAGAUUAUGCAUAUAUGCAUAUACAAGUUCAGCUUUGCGAACAGGUACUGGUAGAUCACUAUUGUGUUUGAUCGACAUUAACCCUGUGAGAAUCAUUCUGGAUGAAAGCGGAAGACAUGAGCACCGCAGAUUCCCAGCCACCGAAAGCCUGAGCAGAAGAAUCAGCAGGUG